GCCAGGUGUGGUGUGUGCCUGUAGUCCCAGCCAUUUGGGAGGCUGUUGCAGGAGGAUUGCUCUAGCCCAGGAGUUUGGGUUGUAAUGGGCUCUGCAGGUAGGGUGUCUGCACUGAUUUGAGCAUCAGUCUGAUGACUUCCUAGGAAUGAGAGACUGCCAAUUGGUGUAAGGAGGGGUGAACUGGCCAAGGUUGGAAAUGGAGCAGGUCAAAAUUCCCAGUGCUGAUCAGUAGCAAGAUCACACCUGUGAAUAGCUGCUGUACGCCAGCCUGGGCAACACAGGGAAACUCCUUU
rnacentral:SRP_RNA from 1 species